rnacentral:rRNA from 1 species
GUACGGGAGGCAGCAGUGGGGAAUUUUGGACAAUGGGCGCAAGCCUGAUCCAGCCAUGCCGCGUGAGUGAAGAAGGCCUUCGGGUUGUAAAGCUCUUUCGGACAGAAAGAAAUCGCACUUACUAAUACUAGGUGUGGAUGACGGUACUGUAAGAAGAAGCACCGGCUAACUACGUGCCAGCAGCCGCGGUAAUACGUAGGGUGCGAGCGUUAAUCGGAAUUACUGGGCGUAAAGCGUGCGCAGGCGGUUUUGUAAGACAGACGUGAAAUCCCCGGGCUUAACCUGGGAACUGCGUUUGUGACUGCAAGGCUAGAGUGUGGCAGAGGGGGGUAGAAUUCCGCGUGUAGCAGUGAAAUGCGUAGAUAUGCGGAGGAAUACCGAUGGCGAAGGCAGCCCCCUGGGUCAACACUGACGCUCAUGCACGAAAGCGUGGGGAGCAAACAGGAUUAGAUACCCCGGUAGU